UGUUUGUUGUAGCAUGUAUCUCCCUGAACGGUAUCGUAGGUAGGUGAGAGGGGAGACGCCUAAGUGUUUGUUGUAGCAUGAAUCUCGCUGAACGGUAUCGUAGGUAGGUGAGAGGGGAGACGCCUAAGUGUUUGUUGUAGCAUGAAUCUCGCUGAACGGUAUCGUAGGUAGGUGAGAGGGGAGACGCCUAAGUGUUUGUUGUAGCAUGAAUCUCGCUGAACGGUAUCGUAGGUAGGUGAGAGGGGAGACGCCUAAGUGUUUGUUGUAGCAUGAAUCUCGCUGAACGGUAUCGUUGGUAGGUGAGAGGGGAGACGCCUAAGUGUUUGUUGUAGCAUGAAUCUCGCUGAACGGUAUCGUAGGUAGGUGAGAGGGGAGACGCCUAAGUGUUUGUUGUAGCAUGAAUCUCGCUGAACGGUAUCGUUGGUAGGUGAGAGGGGAGACGCCUAAGUGCGAGACGUAAACAAA